CUUGGAAGGAGAAGCCUUCCAAUGAGGAAAGAAAAGAGAAGAAAAAGAAUGAAGGAAAGAAAGAGAGAGAAAGAAGUCUCCCAUGGAGGAAAAAGUGAAGAAGAAGAAGUAAGGGAUCAAGGAGAAGAUGAUGAUGGGAGCUCUCUUGAAAUGAAGAUUGGAAGAUUCAAGAAUGAGGUUGUGGAAGCAUGGAAAAAUCAAUACAAGGUGGAUUGGCAUGUGGAGGCAUGGAAAUGAUGAUCCAAGCGUAUUGUAUGGCUUAGGGGAGCCUAACUUGUUAUGUUUAAUGUAUGAGAUGUAAUUUUAUUUAUUUGAUAAUGGCUUGUUGAAGCCCAAGAGUAUGUGUGUAUUUUAUAUUGGAAUGUAUGUUACCAUUUAGAAAGUGAGGCAGGCAUUAGCUUAUGGCAUGUGAAGCCUAAGUUGUGGUGUAAGUCUCAUUAUUGGGUGUGUUGUGAGAAGCAACUAAGAUCCAAGUAAAAAGGAUUUUUGUUGGAAAGGUAGUGGGUGUUUGAUGUAUGUUGUGGAAGCAUC